CUGCAAUCAGAGCAUUGUGAUUAGUGGUCAGAGCUGCUGUCAAAGGAGCGUGACCAGGUCAUCUUCCCCAGGACUACGGCAGCUCCAGUGAAGACAAAACGUAGGGCUUCUGUGACCUUUGCUAUUUCUAUUGUUAGGCUUUUAGUUUUAAUCCAAAAAUAUGCAGGAUUUACAGUUAUUGUUGUCAGAAACUUCCAGAAGAAUCAACAAAGUGAAGUGGAAAGAAGCACAUCAGGGAGGUCCGGCCUCGGGGUUUGGCCCCUGGUCUUCCAUCUGCUUGGAAUCUGCUUUGGACACGUAUCCGCCCGGCUUGUUGUGAGAAAAGACUGGAAUAAAGGCAAACUCUUCAAGAUGCCUGAAACCAAGAUGCACCAAAGUCAGGAGCCAAGACUUCCCGGGGUUUUAUACACAGCUCCAGCUCUAGGCAAGUUUCAGGGUGAGUUAACAUCCACUGGCACUUUGCCUUAAAAGACAGACCAGAAUAAGCAUUGAUC
rnacentral:lncRNA from 1 species